rnacentral:rRNA from 1 species
UUAAGGUCUAAUCUGCUCAAUGAUUUAGUAUUAAAUAGCCGCAGUAUUUUAACUGUGCUAAGGUAGCAUAAUAAAUAGUUUCUUGAUUGGGAACUGGAAUGAAUGAUCGGACAAGAAUUACACUGUCUCUUAUAUUAUUUAUGAAUUUUACUUUAUAGUUAAAAGGCUAUAAUUAGAAUAAAAGACGAGAAGACCCUAUAGAGUUUAAAUUAUUUUAAAAUUUGGUUUCUUUAUUAUUUAAAUUUAAUUUAAUUUAUAAUUUUGGUUGGGGUUGCUUUAAGAUUAAAUUAAUUCUUAAUUUAAAAUCAUUAAUUUAUGAUUUUGUUUUCUUUUUUUAAGAUAAAUAUAAAUUACCUUGGGGAUAACAGCGUAA